AGGGCUAUAGCUCAGUUAGGUAGAGCACCUCGAGAAGGUCUACGGUUCGAGUCCGUAUAGCCCUA
rnacentral:tRNA from 7 species